GAUGAAGAACGUAGCGAAAUGCGAUAAGUAGUGUGAAUUGCAGAAUUCAGUGAAUCAUCGAAUCUUUGAACGCACAUUGCGCCCUUUGGUAUUCCUUAGGGCAUGCCUGUUCGAGCGUCAUUUAAACCUUCAAGCUAAGCUUGGUGUUGGGUGACUGUCCGCUUCACUGCGGACUCGCCUCAAAAUUAUUGGCGGCCGGUACAUUGGCUUCGAGCGCAGCAGAAACGCGAACUCGGGCCCGUCGUAUUGGCUCCCAGAAGCUAUCUUCACAAUUUUGACCUCGGAUCAGGUAGGGAUACCCGCUGAACUUAAGCAUUUCAAUAAGCGGAGGA
rnacentral:misc_RNA from 1 species